rnacentral:rRNA from 1 species
AGCAAGGUUAACCGAAUAGGGGAGCCGGAGGGAAACCGAGUCUUAAUUGGGCGUUAAGUUGCAGGGUAUAGACCCGAAACCCGGUGAUCUAGCCAUGGGCAGGUUGAAGGUUGGGUAACACUAACUGGAGGACCGAACCGACUAAUGUUGAAAAAUUAGCGGAUGACCUGUGGCUGGGGGUGAAAGGCCAAUCAAACCGGGAGAUAGCUGGUUCUCCCCGAAAGCUAUUUAGGUAGCGCCUCGUGAACUCAUCUCCGGGGGUAGAGCACUGUUUCGGCUAGGGGGCCAUCCCGGCUUACCAACCCGAUGCAAACUGCGAAUACCGGAGAAUGUUAUCACGGGAGACACACGGCGGGUGCUAACGUCCGUCGUGAAGAGGGAAACAACCCAGACCGCCAGCUAAGGUCCCAAAGUCAUGGUUAAGUGGGAAACGAUGUGGGAAGGCCCAGACAGCCAGGAUGUUGGCUUAGAAGCAGCCAUCAUUUAAAGAAAGCGUAAUAGCUCACUGGUCGAGUCGGCCUGCGCGGAAGAUGUAACGGGGCUAAACCAUGCACCGAAGCUGCGGCAGCGACGCUCAGGCGUUGUUGGGUAGGGGAGCGUUCUGUAAGCCUGUGAAGGUGGCCUGUGAGGGUUGCUGGAGGUAUCAGAAGUGCGAAUGCUGACAUAAGUAACGAUAAAGCGGGUGAAAAGCCCGCUCGCCGGAAGACCAAGGGUUCCUGUCCAACGUUAAUCGGGGCAGGGUGAGUCGACCCCUAAGGCGAGGCCGAAAGGCGUAGUCGAUGGGAAACGGGUUAAUAUUCCCGUACUUGGUGUUACUGCGAAGGGGGGACGGAGAAGGCUAUGUUGGCCGGGCGACGGUUGUCCCGGUUUAAGCGUGUAGGUGUGUGUUCCAGGUAAAUCCGGUUCACUUUAACACUGAGGCGUGACGACGAGGCACUACGGUGCUGAAGCAACAAAUGCCCUGCUUCCAGGAAAAGCCUCUAAGCAUCAGGUAACAUCAAAUCGUACCCCAAACCGACACAGGUGGUCAGGUAGAGAAUACCAAGGCGCUUGAGAGAACUCGGGUGAAGGAACUAGGCAAAAUGGUGCCGUAACUUCGGGAGAAGGCACGCUGACACGUAGGUGAAGUGAUUUACUCAUGGAGCUGAAGUCAGUCGAAGAUACCAGCUGGCUGCAACUGUUUAUUAAAAACACAGCACUGUGCAAACACGAAAGUGGACGUAUACGGUGUGACGCCUGCCCGGUGCCGGAAGGUUAAUUGAUGGGGUCAGCGCAAGCGAAGCUCCUGAUCGAAGCCCCGGUAAACGGCGGCCGUAACUAUAACGGUCCUAAGGUAGCGAAAUUCCUUGUCGGGUAAGUUCCGACCUGCACGAAUGGCGUAAUGAUGGCCAGGCUGUCUCCACCCGAGACUCAGUGAAAUUGAACUCGCUGUGAAGAUGCAGUGUACCCGCGGCAAGACGGAAAGACCCCGUGAACCUUUACUAUAGCUUGACACUGAACAUUGAGCCUUGAUGUGUAGGAUAGGUGGGAGGCUUUGAAGCGUGGACGCCAGUCUGCGUGGAGCCGACCUUGAAAUACCACCCUUUAAUGUUUGAUGUUCUAACGUGGACCCGUUACCCGGGUUGCGGACAGUGUCUGGUGGGUAGUUUGACUGGGGCGGUCUCCUCCUAAAGAGUAACGGAGGAGCACGAAGGUUGGCUAAUCCUGGUCGGACAUCAGGAGGUUAGUGCAAUGGCAUAAGCCAGCUUGACUGCGAGCGUGACGGCGCGAGCAGGUGCGAAAGCAGGUCAUAGUGAUCCGGUGGUUCUGAAUGGAAGGGCCAUCGCUCAACGGAUAAAAGGUACUCCGGGGAUAACAGGCUGAUACCGCCCAAGAGUUCAUAUCGACGGCGGUGUUUGGCACCUCGAUGUCGGCUCAUCACAUCCUGGGGCUGAAGUAGGUCCCAAGGGUAUGGCUGUUCGCCAUUUAAAGUGGUACGCGAGCUGGGUUUAGAACGUCGUGAGACAGUUCGGUCCCUAUCUGCCGUGGGCGCUGGAGAACUGAGGGGGGCUGCUCCUAGUACGAGAGGACCGGAGUGGACGCAUCACUGGUGUUCGGGUUGUCAUGCCAAUGGCACUGCCCGGUAGCUAAAUGCGGAAGAGAUAAGUGCUGAAAGCAUCUAAGCACGAAACUUGCCCCGA